rnacentral:rRNA from 1 species
GACGAACCGUACGAACGUUAUUCGGAAUUACUGGGCUUAAAGGGUGCGUAGGCUGUGCAGAAAGUUGGGUGUGAAAUCCCCCCGGCUCAACCGGGGAAUGGCGCUCAAAACUACUGUGCUAGAGGGAGACAGAGGUAAGCGGAACUCAGGGUGGAGCGGUGAAAUGCGUUGAUAUCCUGAGGAACACCGGUGGCGAAGGCGGCUUACUGGGUCUCUUCUGACGCUGAGGCACGAAAGCUAGGGUAGCGAACGGG